GCUGGGCUAGGGGCCGGGGUUGCGGGUGGAGCCGCGCGGCAGCGGGCCGGCAGCCGCGGGUCGGGAGCUGGUUCCGGCCCGCGGGGGCGUGGGGAACGGCCGCGAGACGUUGGAGGCAGCCGGACCGCGGCGCGCAGUGGCGGGCCCUGCGGGCUUGCGCCCCUCCCCGGUCCCGGCUGCGGUGGCGCACCCCCACCCUUCCCGGGAGGAGAGGCGUUGACCUUGUACGCCGGGCGCUCUGAAGUUCCAAAAGCCUGCGGGCCGGGCUUGGGGGGACGUGCGGGCGGUGGGGCCGGGAGCACCGCGCAGGCGGGGCAGCAGCGUUGGGGGCGUGGAAGGGGCCGCGGCCGUGCUCGGAGCCCCCACGCCCCCGUGGCCCUGGGACAGUGACCCAGAGCCCCCCUUCGAGAGAUGCUGAAGGGCUGCAGAUGCCUUCGGCCUGCUUGUGCCGGCUUAUGCAGUCCCUCCUGAUUUGAACGGAAUUUCGGUCAAUGUGCAUUUUUUUCUCCAUGUUUAUCAUAACCCCAAUGAAAAACUUACAGAAAGUUGAACCGGUAUUUAAAAUUGUGAAGGUCGAGAAAAAAUUACAACCCCCGGCUUUGGUGGGUCGGCCGGGGUGUCUGGUGGCCCUGGAGGCCGUCCGUCUGCCCGCGCGCCCGGGGCCUGUCCCCGCCUGCCAGCUUGGGCGGUGUGCCCUCGGCCCGGCCUGUGGGGCAGGCCCUGUCCCGGAACCCACGCAACCCGGCCUGAGCGCGCCCAGAGGCGUGGCGCCUCCGCGGGGCAGGAGAAAGCCUUCCCGGAAGCCAGCCUGGAGAACUGGAAAAACAAGUGCUGACGGCCCAAAACCAGCUAAGAAGGGAGCGUGAGCUUUUCAGAAGGCGCUGAAGGAAUGUCCAGUCUGGACAGGUGGAACUUAAUUCCCGUGCCCGUGAGCAUGUGUUGGACUUAAGUGACUCAUUUUAUGGAUGGAAUGUGGUAAAGGCAAUCACUGGGUCAUAACAGACAAUGUGGCCUUUCUCUUUUGGACCUGCUGCCAUGUCAUGGGCACCGUCAGGCAGCCCUAUGGAGAGGCACACGUGGUGAGGCACUGAGCCCGUUGCCACCAUGUGAAGACACCAUCUCAGAGGCAGAUCCUCCAGACUCGGUCAAGCCUUUGGACAACCACAACCCUGGCUGACAUCUUGUCGGCAACCUUGUGGGAGACUUGAAACUGCUGCUGCCCAGAUAAGUCACUUCUGGCUUCCUGACCCACAGGAACUUUGAGACUAAAAAUGUUUUCCAUUUUAGGGUAAUUUGUUAUGCAGCAAUAGAUAACUAACAUAGCACCUUUACUCGCCAUUAAAAAGACUAACAAUGGCAAGUGUCGAUGAGCAUGUGGAGCUACUGGAACCCUCACCACUACUGGUGGGAGUGUAAACUGGUACAACCAUUUUGGAAAACAAUUUGGUAUUAUUUCUAUUUCCAUUGUUUUCUAUAUAACUGAAGGCUUCCAUUUCCAAUGACCCAUCCCCAGUGACCCAGCAAUUCUACCCACAAGAAUAUACCCAGCAGAGGUGUACACGUGCGCAUCAGGAUACAUACACAGAAUGUUCCUAACAGCAUGAUUAGUAAUGGCCCCAAACAGGAAAUGGAUCCAAAAAAUCAGCUCACAAUGCAUUCAUACAAUGGAAUGCUGGGAGCUCUGAAAGUUAAUGAAUUGUCACUGCAUGCGAUAAAUCACAUGAAUAGGUCUCAUAAGCAUUAAAUUUGAGUGACAGAAGCCUGACACAAGAGUACAAAUCAUGCAAUAUCCCUUAAAUGAAGUGACCUUUGGUGAGGUGGAGGCCUUGGGGGCUUCUGGGGAGUCAGCGAUGUUUUACUUCUGAACCUGCAUCGUGGUUAUGUGAUAUUCAGUAUGUUUUCUGCACAUUUUUUUGUUUUGUGCUUUUUUCUGUGUGAGUGUAUACUUUAAAGAAGAUUAACAAAACCCUGACAAAUCAGCAACACAAUAACCACGAAACCCUGGUUUCACGGGCCUGUCUCAACAGCUCUAACACGUGGCUCAGCAGACAACCUGACGGCCCAAACCACCAGCUGGGCCUGCGGCUCUCCUGUGGGUGUGACCCCUAGGAGCCCAUGGAAUGUGUGUUCUUGGGCGUCCCCCAUGAGUAACUGUCCUUUGAGUAAAGCUGGAGAACAGAGUUUGAGGUGUGUUCUCUGGCU